rnacentral:rRNA from 1 species
GAUGAACGCUGGCGGCGUGCCUAAUACAUGCAAGUCGAGCGAACAGACGAGGAGCUUGCUCCUCUGACGUUAGCGGCGGACGGGUGAGUAACACGUGGAUAACCUACCUAUAAGACUGGGAUAACUUCGGGAAACCGGAGCUAAUACCGGAUAAUAUAUUGAACCGCAUGGUUCAAUAGUGAAAGACGGUUUUGCUGUCACUUAUAGAUGGAUCCGCGCCGCAUUAGCUAGUUGGUAAGGUAACGGCUUACCAAGGCAACGAUGCGUAGCCGACCUGAGAGGGUGGUCGGCCACACUGGAACUGAGCCACGGUCCAGGCUCCUACGGGAGGCAGCAGUAGGGAAUCUUCCGCAAUGGGCGGAAGCUUGACGGAGCAACGCCGCGUGAGUGAUGAAGGUCUUCGGAUCGUAAAACUCUGUUAUUAGGGAAGAACAAAUGUGUAAGUAACUAUGCACGUCUUGACGGUACCUAAUCAGAAAGCCACGGCUAACUACGUG